rnacentral:tRNA from 1 species
CCAGUAGCUCAGUUGGUUAGAGCAAUCCGCUCAUAACGGAUUGGUCGGGGGUUCAAAUCCCUCCUGGUCC